rnacentral:rRNA from 1 species
UACGUAGGGCGCAAGCGUUGUCCGGAAUUAUUGGGCGUAAAGAGCUCGUAGGCGGUCUGUUACGUCCGCUGUGAAAACCCAGGGCUUAACCCUGGGCUUGCAGUGGAUACGGGUAGACUAGAGGCAGGUAGGGGAGAAUGGAAUUCCCGGUGUAGCGGUGAAAUGCGCAGAUAUCGGGAGGAACACCGGUGGCGAAGGCGGUUCUUUGGGCCUGACCUGACGCUGAGGAGCGAAAGCGUGGGGAGCGAACAGG